GUCUACAGCCAUACCACUCUGAACAUGCCCAAUCUCGUCUGACCUCAGAAGCUAAGCAGGGUCGGACCUGGUUAGUACUUGGAUGGGAGACCACCUUGGAAUAUCAGGAGCUGUAGGCG
rnacentral:rRNA from 1 species